AGAGGACCGAUGAAGCUAUUGCACAAUUUUGUAAACUUAGUUCACAACAUACGAUUGGGUGAACUUUUUAACAACCCUAUCACCUUGAGGUAUAAAUGUAAACGUAGCAUAUUCGUGGAUAGGAUUCUUCCCUGUACCAAACGACAUGAAGUGCUUGCUGCCAAUUGCUGCCCUGUGCCUGUUUUGGGUUUUGCAACCGGAUGUAACAUUGACUGUGUAUCGGAAGCGCAAGAGUGGUGAGUGCGUCAAUUAGUGGAGACAAGGACAGGAUGUGCAGCGCCGGUUACUCCUACCGAGACUGUUUGGGUAGCGACUGUGAAGCAGCUGAUGCUGUAACAGAAGCCUUAAAGCUGCAAGGCUGCGGUUCAGAGAGAGUGUGGAUGUCAGCUUCAUCACUGCUGAUGGCCAUUGUUCUCACCAAAAUAUUCGUGUAAAACCUUUACGCUCUUUAAAUGCUAAUUAUGGACCAGUUAACAAUCAGAUUGUAAUCAGUCUAAAUGAAUAUCACACAAACAUUGAAAUCAGAAACAAUGUAAAAGAGAUAAAUGUAUUGUGUAAAGAUUGUGACGAAUGCUUUGUGUUCUGUACGCAUCUUUCACUGUCGCGAGUUGGGAGUGCAUCAUAAUGCUGAAACAGUCUGUACAAUAUGAUUACAUGAAUUUGUGCAACCGACAAUAAAACCUGCCGGGCAAAAGAAAUCAACACUUAAAGAUUGGCUUAAACUAAACUCUUACAAAACGUUACUAAGUAACUAACAGUGUCCCAAACACUACACAUUCAAGUUCCAAAACAAACUGGGAAUUUGUUUGAAGUACAUACUAUUAAGUGUCGAACAUUUUGUAAAGUUUAUCCAACAAUAAACAUGCGUGUAUACUUUCUGUUGCCCGGCAGUUCAGACCAACUUUGAAAUCCUAGAAAAUGGGUAUAAUUGACCUCUGUACAUUUAAAAAUAAAUAAAUUGAACUUUGUCGCCA